rnacentral:rRNA from 1 species
ACGGGACCCGCACAAGCGGUGGAUGAUGUGGAUUAAUUCGAUGCAACGCGAAAACCUUGCCUACCCUUGACAUGUCCGGAAUCCCGAAGAGAUUUGGGAGUGCUCGCAAGAGAGCCGGAACACAGGUGCUGCAUGGCUGUCGUCAGCUCGUGUCGUGAGAUGUUGGGUUAAGUCCCGCAACGAGCGCAACCCUUAUCAUUAGUUGCUACGCAAGGGCACUCUAAUGAGACUGCCGGUGACAAACCGGAGGAAGUGGGGAUGACGUCAAGUCCUCAUGGCCCUUAUGGGUAGGGCUUCACACGUCAUACAAUGGUCGGUACAGAGGGUUGCCAAGCCGCGAGGCGGAGCCAAUCCCACAAAGCCGAUCGUAGUCCGGAUUGUUCUCUGCAACUCGAGAGCAUGAAGUCGGAAUCGCUAGUAAUCGCAGGUCAGCAUACUGCGGUGAAUACGUUCCCGGGUCUU